CUACAAUGGCCGGUACAGACGGACGCAAAGCCGCGAGGCGGAGCAAAGUCCGAAAAAGCCGGUCUACAGUUCGGAUUGCAGGCUGCAAUUCGCCUGCAUGAAGUCGGAAUCGCUAGUAAUCGCAGGUCAGCAUACUGCGGUGAAUACGUUCCCGGGCCUU
rnacentral:rRNA from 1 species